GACGAACGCUGGCGGCGUGCUUAACACAUGCAAGUCGAACGGGAUUUAGUAAACAGAAGCCUCGGUGGUAGAUUACUAAUGAGAGUGGCGAACGGGUGAGUAACGCGUGAGCAACCUGCCUAUGACAGUGGGAUAGCCUCGGGAAACCGGGAUUAAUACCGCAUAAAAUCGUCGAAACACAUGUUUUAACGGUCAAAGAUUUAUCGGUCAUAGAUGGGCUCGCGUCUGAUUAGCUAGUUGGUGAGAUAACAGCCCACCAAGGCGACGAUCAGUAGCCGGUCUGAGAGGAUGAACGGCCACAUUGGAACUGAGACACGGUCCAAACUCCUACGGGAGGCAGCAGUGGGGAAUAUUGCACAAUGGGGGAAACCCUGAUGCAGCGACGCCGCGUGAACGAAGAAGGUAUUCGUAUCGUAAAGUUCUGUCCUAUGGGAAGAUAAUGACAGUACCAUAGAAGAAAGCUCCGGCUAAAUACGUG
rnacentral:rRNA from 1 species